ACAGUGGUAGUUCGGUGGUAGAAUUCUCACCUUCCAUGCAGGAGACCUGGGUUUGACUCUCGGCCACUGCU
rnacentral:tRNA from 1 species